UGAGUAACACGUAUCCAACCUGCCGUCUACUCUUGGACAGCCUUCUGAAAGGAAGAUUAAUACAAGAUGGCAUCAUGAGUCCGCAUGUUCACAUGAUUAAAGGUAUUCCGGUAGACGAUGGGGAUGCGUUCCAUUAGAUAGUAGGCGGGUAACGGCCCACCUAGUCUUCGAUGGAUAGGGUUCUGAGAGGAAGGUCCCCCACAUUGGAACUGAGACACGGUCCAA
rnacentral:rRNA from 1 species